rnacentral:sRNA from 1 species
AUAUAUAUCGAUGGUGCAUUAUUCUAGUCGUAUGAUCUAUUAUGAGGGUGGGGCUAAAAAUCCACUAUAGGGCACACCGUUGAAGUUUCUUGUUUAUGCGCGAAAUGCCAGUUUUGUGUGUAUCCAGGAAGUAAGAGGUUAGGGCAUUAUAUAAUGGCAUAUAUAACAACCCCUGGUUUCGUCUGAGGCUUAUAAAGAAAAGUAAAGAAUCUUUUUUACAUAUUCUUAUAAGUAUAACCUAUGUGAGUGCCAAGACACAAAAUCAUAGAGUAGCCUGUCUUGAGUGAUAAUAUUGGGAUUAAUAUAUACAAUACGGAAUUUAGGCCAAAGGAUGUAUUGAAUUGAUUAUGAAAUUAUUAUUGCAAAAAAGACUAAUAAUAGGUAUCAGUAUGUCAAGGAAAACUUCUAGAAUGUUUAUUUGUAAAAAUAAGAGAGUCUAGGGAUUAAGGUACGGAUUUAAGUGGUGAUCUAGUUUCUACAAAUUCUUGUAGAUAUUUUCUUGAAAUGGAAACAGCUAAACAGUAAUGUUUAGUAGAAAAUAGAGAAAUUCUACUAGACCUAAACCGUAAAAUUUACUUAGACUUUUACCAUCUUAUUAUAUAA